AACAGCUCCGAGUGAAUCGCGUAAAACUUCUCCGUCAGCACAAGAGGAGGGCGCGAGAUUCCAGUCGAUAGCAGAAUGAAGUUCCUUUUUUUUCUCUCAGGCGGAUUUAAGGGUCGGUAGGCCUAUCUACGCCUCGGAAAAUUAACUCAAGUUGCCAAGCGUUGUCUGUUUUCGGAGGGAAUGUCACCGAUUUACGUUUGGCUUACGUCAGGCUGGAAUUUCCUUGCGUGGAACAAGUUACAACAGAGAAAAUUCAGUUCACGCCACGGUAGUAUGUAAUAUGAAAAGCCCAGAGAAGAUUUCGUGUGGCUAAGCAGCAGCGAGACGAACUCGCUCGCCGUUUCAUCCAAGCGACGCUCCUCAUGCCCCUCGUCCGUGCAGGCAGUGGACAGUGCUUGGAGAAUAAGCUACGAGGAGAAUGGGAAGCGCGCGUGCUUGUGAAUGGAAAGUGUGGUGUUGAGAGCCGCCUCUGCCACACAGCGCGGCGACAGUUACUGGUGGCAAAAUGCAGCCCCUGCCAUUACGAGUCCAGAGGAAAGCCCAGGAUGUAACCACCGACCAAUUGUCUCUCCGGAGAGUUAGAAUCAUCAUGGCGAACCGAUUCUGCCCAUCAUGAGAGGCUGGGGUUUCCUCGCUCCGUACACAAGCCCGAAGAACGGAUGUUGUUGCAUGACAGUCGCAUUGUAUAUUAGUCAUAAAUCUUUUUUAGUGUCCAUUUUGAACCAAUAAGAGAUUUCACUGAGGAGAGAUGAGGUUGCCGUCGUCUACAACUGAGUCAAAAUGCCGAGUAUAUAUAUUUAGGAAGAUUUGCAAAUUGAUGGGUUUGAAGAUACAUUUGCUGAGAGAUCAUGCGUUUGCAUUUCGGCCAAGGAUACAGCCAAACAAGGCAAAAUACAUUCAUAAAAUAUAAUUCUGCUUUGUAAUAACAUUGCACAGUCUUACUCUC